GACGAACGCUGGCGGCGUGCUUAACACAUGCAAGUCGAACGCGAGAGGGGCUUCGGCCCCGAUUGAGUGGCGAACGGGUGAGUAACACGUGGGUGACCUACCUUCGAGUGGGGGAUAACGUCCCGAAAGGGACGCUAAUACCGCAUAACAUUCCGCUUUUGAACAAGUGGAAAUCAAAGCCGGGGAUCGUAAGACCUGGCGCUUGAAGAGGGGCCCGCGUCCGAUUAGCUAGUUGGUGAUGUAACGGCUCACCAAGGCGACGAUCGGUAGCCGGCCUGAGAGGGCGAUCGGCCACACUGGAACUGAGACACGGUCCCGACUCCUACGGGAGGCAGCAGUGGGGAAUAUUGGGCAAUGGGCGAAAGCCUGACCCAGCGACGCCGCGUGGGGAUGAAGGCC
rnacentral:rRNA from 1 species